CUGACCUCUGGUGCACCAGUUGUUCCGCCAGGAGCACAGCUGGGUAGCUAUGUCGGGAAGGGAUAAACGCUGAAAGCAUCUAAGCGUGAAGCCCACCUCAAGAUUAGAUUUCCCAUAGCGUUAGCUAGUAAGACCCCUGAAAGACCAUCAGGUUGAUAGGUUAGAGGUGUAAGUGCAGUAAUGUACUCAGCUGACUAAUACUAAUAGGUCGAGGACUUGAUCAA
rnacentral:rRNA from 1 species